rnacentral:rRNA from 1 species
GUAACCUGCCUCAUACAGGGGGAUAACAGUUGGAAACGACUGCUAAUACCGCAUAAGCGCACAGUACCGCAUGGUACAGUGUGAAAAACUCCGGUGGUAUGAGAUGGACCCGCGUCUGAUUAGCUAGUUGGUGGGGUAACGGCCUACCAAGGCGACGAUCAGUAGCCGACCUGAGAGGGUGACCGGCCACAUUGGGACUGAGACACGGCCCAAACUCCUACGGGAGGCAGCAGUGGGGAAUAUUGCACAAUGGGGGAAACCCUGAUGCAGCAACGCCGCGUGAGUGAAGAAGUAUUUCGGUAUGUAAAGCUCUAUCAGCAGGGAAGAAAAUGACGGUACCUGACUAAGAAGCCCCGGCUAACUACGUGCCAGCAGCCGCGGUAAUACGUAGGGGGCAAGCGUUAUCCGGAUUUACUGGGUGUAAAGGGAGCGUAGACGGCGAGACAAGUCUGAAGUGAAAGCCCGGGGCUCGACCCCGGGACUGCUUUGGAAACUGCCUUGCUAGAGUGCUGGAGAGGUAAGUGGAAUUCCUAGUGUAGCGGUGAAAUGCGUA